AGAUGACAUGCGUGGAGUGGCUGGAACACAUGCACUACAAUAAGAGCAUCGGUGAGAACAAGGCGCUCACAGGAGGAAGACCUGCAGGGUGCACCACAAAAGCCCCAGUCCCCACUGCCCAGGACCCAUGGGGGGUGGUAACUGGGGAGCAACCUUUUGGUCAGGCCCUGUAGCCGCAGCACUGACAGUGACAUUGGUGGGAUGAGCACUGUUGUCCUGGGGAGUCCAGGCUGUCGGCCUCUGCUGCUCCCACACUUCAGUUCCGAAGGCUAGAUGUCCAAAAUGACGGUGCCGGCAGGACCAAGCUCCCUCCGCUGCCUCCACAGCCCCAGGCAUUCCCUGGCUUGCAGCAACAGAAGAUCAAUCUCUGCUCUGUCUUCACACAGCUGUUGUGCACGUGUCUUUUUUUUUUUUUUCGAGAUGGCGUUCUUAUUGCCCAGGCUGGAG